UUGAACUCACAACCCUGGGUUUAGCAGGCCAGUGCUCACCGCUGAGCUAUCCCUCCCCCCACAUUAGUCAGUAUUUGUUCCCUGUGCAGACACUUAGCGACUGUGACGAAGUCGUCCCCCCCUGCCCCCAGUCUUAGCUUUCCCUUCGUUAAGCUAAACCGAGUCACUCUGGCUUUCCAAUCCUUCAGUCAGCCUCGUGGCUCUUCUCUGACCCCUCACCAGUGUAUCAACAUCCUCUCUGAAUUGUGCACACCAGGCCUGGCCGCGCUAGUCUAGCAGCGUUCGCACCAGUGCCAAAGACGGACAUAAAAUGACCUCCUGUCUCUAGUGAAUGGCAGAAAUGCCAUAGAGCUUAUACCCUGCUUCCUACAGCCCCGCAGAUCCUGGCCCACCUCUGGAACGUAGGGGGUCUCCUCUGCAUCCCAUCCUAUCCUCUGUCCAAUCUCCCGGCCUGACCCACUGCUUGCUUUCAGGGCAUGGCCCUUCCCCUUCUGCCCUGGGACACAGGGUAUGGAAAAGGAAGAGCAUUUCAGACCCCCAAGCCAAAAAUGAAUAGGUCGUCCCCUGGAAGGAGGUUAAGUGCUUUGCGAUGGUCGUCCCCUGGAAGUCAGGGUUAAGUGCUUUGGGAUGGUUGUCCCCUGGAAGCUGAGGUUAAGUGCUUUGGGAGGGUUGUCCCCUGGAAGCCAGGGUUAAGUGCUUUGAGAUGGUGGUCCCCUGUCCUCUGGAAGCCGAGGUUAAGUGCUUUGGGAUCCUCGGAUGCAAAGGGCCAUAAAGGGGCUGAGUACUAAUGUCAACUGGCCUGGAGGACUGAAGGGUUAGCAUGGCCCUGGCCUAAGGGAGCUGUUCCCAUAAGCCUCUCAGCCAAUGAGCGUCAGCCUGGGGCCAUUGGAGGCCAGCGGAUCUGUAGGGAGUGCUGAGGCAAUGGGUGGCGCCCUUCCCUCCCAGCCCACUGCAGCCCGUUAAGAAGAACUGUGCUGACAGAGGAGCCCUCUUUUGGGACGAGACCUAAAACCCAGGCCUGGCGCCUCAUGCUCAGCAGAGAGCCCGUGGCCCUUACGAGAAUAAUCCCGUAGCUCUUAUCCUCCUAGAUCUCAAAGCACUGGACCAAGGAGAGUCAGUAUCAUGACCAUUUUAUACAUGGGGGGAAACUGAGGCACAGAGGGGAAGUGACUUGUCCAAGGUCAGCUGGGAAUAGAACCCAGGUAUCCCAAGUCCUAGUGGCUACGCUCCCUGUUAGAAGGGCAAGAGUCAGAGGUUUCAUCUUGGCAUCCUGGCUACAUCCCCACUGGAGUCCUUGGAUUCGGCCCCCUUGAAUCUCCCCAAGUGGCAUUGUCAGGGAGAGGUAGUUUUUACUUCCCUUCCCAAUCGGGUGCAUAAGGCUGCUGAGCUGCCGUCCCAUUCCUUUGUAGAGGAGGCGGCAGGGUGACCAGAUGGCCCGAUUUUAUAGGGCCAGUCCCAGUAUUUGGGGCUUUUUCUUAUAUAGGCUCCUAUUACCCCCCACUCCGUCCCAAUUUUUCACAUUUGCUGUCUGGUCGCCCUGGGAGGCAGGUAAAGGGAUCCCUGGGCACGGUUUGCACCACGCUCGGCCAUGCUGCAAAACAACAGGUGCUCUGUGUCUGGGCAACCAAAGCUUCUCCCCCUCCCGUGAGGGGCAGUGAGCUUGGGGAGAACUGGAUCCUGUUUGAACGUUUCCUUGGGGAGCAGGGAUAGCUUGGGAGGUCAAGGAGGUUUAAUGUUACAGAAGCCACUUUCCAAAGAGAAAUCUGGUUAAUUGGUCUGGUCGUUCUCUGUGUUUAUUCAAAGAGCCACAAAGUCAAGGCCCUGCGUGGUGGGGUGGGGGUGCUGGCUCUUAGCAGACAGAACUUUUGGGGAGUGGUUUAUUGUUGCCAAAUCAAUUCUUUUGUUAGGAAUGGGUAAAAGAACCUUUUUGCCUCCGUUUCUAGCAACUGGUUAUUUUUUAAGACAGACUGGGGGUGCCUCACCAGGAUCCUAGAAUAUCAGGCGUGGAAGGGACCUCAGGAGGUCAUCUAGUCCAACCCCCUGCCAGCUGCUUCCCCAAACCCAACCACGAGGCUGCGAUCUCUGACGUCCACACCUCAGCUAGGGAAGAAUGACCUUGGUUUGGCAAAUUUCAAGCCCACUGGAUCAGUGUCGGUUCAGAAAUUCCUCUAACGCUCCACCGGGACUGGCUCUGAGUUUGCUUAGAGGCCACAAGAAAUCCUCAUGGAAGGGCAAACGGGGCCUUUCUCCUGUUUGUUGAACCCAGCUGAGGUUGGGAGGCUCAAUCUCUAAUGCAGGGGGCUCUGGGUUUUAUACUGGCUUGCCUGUCUCGUCAGGGCUGGCGAGGGAUCGUGGGCUGAAACAAGGUAGGGGAAGAAAAGCAGUCGAAAAGGCUGGCUAUGUGCCAUUGAUGGUUCCCCUCUAUUUCUCGGUGUCUCUGGCUGCAGGGGAAGCUGGUGGACGCUGUGUUAGGAGCUGGUUGCUGCAUCACCAAACUUCGCUUUGCUGGCUGACCUCCCACUCCCCACCCAGUGGCAGAUUCUAUUCCCAGCAGGAGCCGCAUGUUCCCUGUUCAGGAUCAAGCUGUGAGUGGGGAGGAUCCCUGCCACUUCGGAGGGAGAUGGGUUCUCUGAUGCUGCCAGCAGGAAGCUCUAGAUUUUGUCUAACAGUUUGUGGGUCAAACCGUACAGCUUGACUGUGGCAAUUCUGCUGUUUGAGUGGAGGAGGGGGAGUGGACCCUGGGAAGCAUAGUGGGUGUUGCGCUCCCAUAUGUGUCCUGUGCGGGUGAGAAGCCAGUGGGUGGAACCCACGUGUAGGGUUUGCAGGAGGGUGCACUCGUGCUCCCUGGCCAGCAGGGGGUGGGAUUCCAGUCCAUGCCUCCCGCAUCCCUCUCCCCAUGGAUCUCUGCUCAGGGGAGGACAUGAUAUAUCAAAACAAGACCCUUUGCAAUGUCCUGAGCCCAGAUCUUGUGCUGAUCCAUGAAAAACCAGCACGGGGGCUGAGCUGAGUGAAGUGUGACUAGCACAGAUGCUGUAACGAGCGGGGUCCCCCCACCCUGUUUAAUGUUCAGUUUCAACAACCUCUGGGUUCAGAACACACGGUGAUGCGGCUUUUAAACUGAGGCGCUGGCUGUGGGCGCAGGCCGGGGAAGAGAAUCGGAGCUGUGGGCUGGCUGGUGGAACUCGGGCAGAUCCAGCCCAAAGCGCUGUAGGAGUGUGUCGGUCACUGGCCUGCCGGUUCUUGGAUGGGAACCAUCCUGGGCAUUUGCAGGACAGCAGGAGCCUGUGUCUCUUCUCAGGCGGGAGCGGGGUGCUGGGAGGGAGCAGACCUCCUGGGAACUUUCUUUUGCAAAAUGUGGGGUUGGUUGGUCAGUCCCUUUUUUAACCAGGUGUCUGUUCUUCAGGUCGCUGGCCUGGAAGGAUGGGUUGAAAACGUUGCACUGUCUUGGUGCUGUAUUUUAAAAUACAUUUUUUAUUAAAAAAAAGAAGUCAGUGAAA